GACCACUUCCUCUGCUCCCCAGCGCCGGAUGGAUGCAGAUCUGUGAGUAAGGAGCCAGCUGCAGGCAAGCAGCUCGAGGGCAGGUUUCCAACUAAGGACUGAGCACACUCUCAACAUGGACCUCCUAACUGCUCUCGAGGAUGGACAGCUGGCCUCAAGGGAACACUGCAAAGUGGCUCUAGGAAGAAGCCACUGUCCCUCCAGACCAUAAAAAUGGCUACCAAGGGCAGAGCCAGCAGCUUUCGCUGUAAAGUUUCUCAAGAAAAUCACAGAUAUUCCCCUCUGUGAUGUUCAGCUCAGCCUGGAAAGGAGGACGCUGAACUAAACAGAAGAGAAACAGGGAAAUAAACAGCAUGGCAACCUACAUCAACAGAAACUUAAUUAUUCACCCUGGAUAACUGAGUGUGUGAGUGUGACUGCAAAUAACAAUAUAGCAAAGAGAAGUUUGA
rnacentral:lncRNA from 1 species